GGCUCCGUGGCUUAGCCGGUUGAAGCGCCUGUGUAGUAAACAGGAGAGCUUGGGUUCGACUCCCAGCGGGGCCU
rnacentral:tRNA from 1 species